UACGUAGGGACCGAGCGUUGUCCGGAAUCAUUGGGCGUAAAGAGCGUGUAGGCGGCCACUUAAGUCCUGCGUGAAAUCUUGCGGCUCAACCGCAAGCGGUCGUGGGAAACUGGGUGGCUGGAGUGCAGGAGAGGAAAGUGGAAUUCCACGUGUAGCGGUGAAAUGCGUAGAGAUGUGGAGGAACACCAGUGGCGAAGGCGACUUUCUGGCCUGUAACUGACGCUGAGGCGCGAAAGCGUGGGGAGCAAACAGG
rnacentral:rRNA from 1 species